GAGGCGAACCGGGGGAACUGAAACAUCUAAGUACCCCGAGGAAAAGAAAUCAACCGAGAUUCCGAAAGUAGCGGCGAGCGAAAUUGGACUAGCCCUUAAGCUUUACACGCGUUAGACGAACGGUCUGGAAAGUCCGACGAUACAGGGUGAUAGUCCCGUAGUUGACGACGUGUGUUCAGUGAAAUCGAGUAGGGCGGGACACGUGAUAUCCUGUCUGAAUAUGGGGGGACCAUCCUCCAAGGCUAAAUACUACUGACUGACCGAUAGUGAACCAGUACCGUGAGGGAAAGGCGAAAAGAACCCCUGUGAGGGGAGUGAAAUAGAACCUGAAACCGUGUACGUACAAGCAGUAGGAGCAGGCUUUGUCCUGUGACUGCGUACCUUUUGUAUAAUGGGUCAGCGACUUAUAUUCAGUGGCAAGGUUAACCAUCUAGGGGAGCCGUAGGGAAACCGAGUCUUAACUGGGCGUUCAGUCUCUGGAUAUAGACCCGAAACCAGGUGAUCUAGCCAUGGGCAGGUUGAAGGUUGAGUAACAUCAACUGGAGGACCGAACCGACUAAUGUUGAAAAAUUAGCGGAUGACUUGUGGCUAGGGGUGAAAGGCCAAUCAAACCUGGAGAUAGCUGGUUCUCCCCGAAAGCUAUUUAGGUAGCGCCUCGGACGAAUACUACUGGGGGUAGAGCACUGUUAAGGCUAGGGGGUCAUCCCGACUUACCAACCCUUUGCAAACUCCGAAUACCAGUAAGUACUAUCCGGGAGACACACGGCGGGUGCUAACGUCCGUCGUGGAGAGGGAAACAACCCAGACCGCCAGCUAAGGUCCCAAAUUACUACUAAGUGGGAAACGAUGUGGGAAGGCUCAGACAGCCAGGAUGUUGGCUUAGAAGCAGCCAUCAUUUAAAGAAAGCGUAAUAGCUCACUGGUCGAGUCGGCCUGCGCGGAAGAUGUAACGGGGCUAAGUAGUAAACCGAAGCUGCGGCAAUGUGCUUUUGCACAUUGGGUAGGGGAGCGUUCUGUAAGCGGUUGAAGGUGUGUGGUAACGCAUGCUGGACGUAUCAGAAGUGCGAAUGCUGACAUGAGUAACGAUAAAGGGGG
rnacentral:rRNA from 1 species